AAUAGUUAACUUUGAAACUGCGAAUGGCUCAUUAUAUCAGUUAUAGUUUAUUUGAUGAAGAAUCACUAAUUGGAUAAUCCGUAGUAAUUCUAGAGCUAAUACAUGUAUAAAGUCUUGUAGACUGCAUUUAUUAGAAUGAAAACCAUAGGUUUCGGCCUAUUCGUGAGUAAUAAUAACUAAUCAUAUCGUAUGCUUAUGUAACGAUGUGUCUUUCAAGUUUCUGCCCUAUCAGCUUUCGAUGGUAGUGUAUUGGACUACCAUGGCGGUAACGGGUAACGAAGAAUUUGGGUUC
rnacentral:rRNA from 1 species